rnacentral:tRNA from 1 species
GCAGUGGUGGUUCAGUGGUAGAAUUCUCAGCCUUAUAUGCAGGAGACCUGGGUUCUGUUCCUGCCCAGUGCA